GGCUACCACUUCCAAGGAAGGCAGCAGGCGCGCAAAUUACCCAAUGGCAAUACAGCCGAGGUAGUGACAACAAAUAUCAAUAUGGGGCUCUAAGAGUUUCAUAAUUGAAAUGAGAACAAAUUACACUUUUGUUCGAGGAACAACUGGAGGGCAAGUCUGGUGCCAGCAGCCGCGGUAAUUCCAGCUCCAGUAGCGUAUAUUAAAGUUGUUGCGGUUAAAAAGCUCGUAGUUGGAUUUGAAUAAGAGUAAAAUCAAUUUGUCUCUGACUAGUUUCAGAUUGACUUAUUGUUUAUUUUUAUUUAUCUUUCAGUUUGUUUAUAUUUAUUAUUCAAUUAAUGAGUAUAAAUGACUGGGAAUUUUACUUUGAAAAAAUUAGAGUGUUUCAAGCAAGCAAAUUUUUGCUUUGAAUAGAUUAGCAUGGGAUAAUUUUAUACUAGGUUAUAUUAAUUGUUUUGGUACUUUUAAAUGAUAUAAUCUUGAAGGAUUAAUAGGGAUAGUUGGGGUGAUUUAUAUUCAAUUGUCAGAGGUGAAAUUCUUAGAUUUUUUGAAGAUAAACUAGUGCGAAAGCAUUUCACAAGGAUGUUUUCAUUAAUCAAGAACGAAAGUUGAGGGAUCGAAGACGAUCAGAUACCGUCGUAGUCUCAACCAUAAACUAUGCCACCUGGGGAUCAGACAAACUUUAUUUUUAUAAGAGUUGUUUGGCACCCAAAGAGAAAUCUCAAGGUUUUGGGUUUCGGGGGGAGUAUGGUCGCAAGGCUGAAACUUAAAGGAAUUGACGGAAGGGCACCACAAGGAGUGGAGCCUGCGGCUUAAUUUGACCCAACACGGGGAAACUUACCAAGUCCAGACAACCGAAGGAUUGACAGAUUAAUAGUUCUUUCUUGAUUGGUUGGGUGGUGGUGCAUGGCCGUUCUUAGUUGGUGGAGUGAUUUGUCUGGUUAAUUUCGAUAACGAACGAGACCUCAUCCUAUUAAAUAGUUGUGAGAAUGAUUUUUUGAAUUGAUAAAUCUUUCGGGGUUGUGUAGAUUCCUAAUUCAUUCUUAUUUUUCAACUUCUUAGAGGGACUAUUCACUUUCAAAUGAAUGGAAGUUUGAGGCAAUAACAGGUCUGUGAUGCCCUUAGAUGUUUUGGGCUGCACGCGCGCUACAAUGACAGAUUCAAUAAGUUUCCCUUCCUAGGUCGAAAGACUAAGGAAAUCUUUUAAUCUCUGUCGUAUUGGGGAUAGAUUAUUGCAAUUAUUA
rnacentral:rRNA from 1 species